UAACAAGGAUCCCCUUAGUAACGGCGAGUGAAGCGGGGUGAGCUCAAAUUUAAAAUCUGGCUGGUUUACUAGUCCGAAUUGUAGUUUAUAGAAGCGUUUUCGGUGGCAGCCUGGGUAUAAAUCCUUUGGAAUAGGGUAUCAUAGAGGGUGAGAAUCCCGUCUUUGACCUAGUGCAUGCUACUAUGUGAUACGUUUUCAAAGAGUCGAGUUGUUUGGGAAUGCAGCUCAAAAUGGGUGGUAAAUUUCAUCUAAAGCUAAAUACAGGCGAGAGACCGAUAGCGAACAAGUACCGUGAGGGAAAGAUGAAAAGAACUUUGAAAAGAGAGUUAAACAGUGCGUGAAAUUGUUGAAAGGGAAACGUUUGACACCAGUUAUGCGGAUGGCAAAUCAGUCAAUUGCUGUAGGGAGUGGUAGGGGUUCGGACCGCAAGGCCGUCCUGUGCCUCAUUUUUGCAGUAAUUGAUGCACUUUGUCAUUUGCAGGUCAACAUCAGUUUCUUCUGCUGGACAAAACUCCAAGAGAAGGUAGCAGCUUUGGCUGUGUUAUAGCUCUGGAGCGAUACAGUGGUGGGGACUGAGGAUUUCGCAGUGUGUGCUCUCGGGCAAGGCCGACUGGGUGCUAUGGGAUCGUUCAGCGUACAAUGCAUGCAUUUUGCGCUGUGUCUUUUUCAUACUCGCUCAGCUCGGCUCUUCCACACUUAGGAUGUUGACUUAAUGGUUAUAAACGA
rnacentral:rRNA from 1 species